AUUGAACGCUGGCGGCAGGCCUAACACAUGCAAGUCGAACGAGUGGCGGACGGGUGAGUAAUGUCUGGGAAACUGCCUGAUGGAGGGGGAUAACUACUGGAAACGGUAGCUAAUACCGCAUACCAUCGGAUGUGCCCAGAUGGGAUUAGCUAGUAGGUGGGGUAAAGGCUCACCUAGGCGACGAUCCCUAGCUGGUCUGAGAGGAUGACCGGCAACACUGGAACGGAGAAACGGGCCAGACCCCUACGGGAGGCAGCAGUGGGGAAUAUUGACCAAGGGGCGCAAGCCUGAUGCAGCAAUGCGGCGUGUAUGAAGAAGGCUUUCGGGUUGUAAAGUACUUUCAGCGGGGAGGCGUUACCCGCAGAAGAAGCACCGGCUAACUCCGUGCCAGCAGCCGCGGUAAUAC
rnacentral:rRNA from 1 species